UUAAUAUGUAGCACAUGCUAUUAAUUUAAUAGCAUGUGCUACAUGAAAAAAUAGUGAUUUUAAAAUUAUUUUUUUUAAAGUGUACUAAUUGUGCGAUAAUUUUGGUCGCAGCAUGGUCAAAUCUAUCAUUAAUCCCAUCGGGCUUUAUUGGAUUUGACCACGCCCUGACCAAAAUUAUCACCUCAUAAUACUCAAAGAAUGAUUCCUUAUUCCUUACAUAGCAACAAAACACUGUUACAGUAAGUAAACAUCGUGAAGCACAGAUUUUCAAAGAGUAUUUGAAAUGCGAAAUUGAUAAUUUUAAAGAUUUUCAAUACCGGUAACUUAAAUACGAUGAGAUGUAAGGCAACUUGUAUACAUAGGUUUGUGUAGAUUAUCGCAUUUGUGAUUGUGAAUAAAUGUGUCACUUGAUAGUCCUCACAAAAACAAAACACUAAUUGUUUUUUUUACUGACAGACUACAGAAAUUUGUUUUCCCUUGGACUGAAAUGUCACAUUUUCAUUGGUUUAAACAUAGCACAUGAUUGCCUCAUAUAUCUCUAUAUUUGUUCUGUGAGAAAUAAUAUUAGGCAAUAUGGCCGUCAUUGGUCGACGCUUCGCUUACUCAUUUCGACAUUUCAUAGUAUUUUAUACAUAAAGUGCAUGCCAUAAGUUCUUGAAGUAUUUGGAGUAGUUGCCCUUUAAAAUUCUUUAAAAUUAGAGUAGCUGCCCUAAGAAUAUUGACGUCACAUUGUUUUAUCUGGAGCAGAACAAAAUGGCAGCGUCGAAAUUUGCUCAAAUCUCUGCAGAAGAAAGGGAGAAAACAUUAAAAAUUGAAUAGCAACAAGACAUUUUUGUCAUGCUCAGGCCAGCAUUAAAGGAUCACCAAACAGUAUACACCAUACAUAGUUCGAUUUACGACUCACUGUUUUCUUCCAAGGGACUUUAUUUCCAGAUUUAAAAUUUGGUGUUACAUACAUCAAUAUAUCAUUAACAGAAAGGUUUUCAAACCUUGCAAAUAUGUUCUUUCGUAUUUCUAUGGCAUCACGCGUAUAUGUGCAUUUCCUGGACAACGAAAGUUCAAUGAUCUUAUUCCUGGCAAUUCAUGGAGUUGGACCAAUGGAAUGUUACAGUUAUCAACGGCAUCAUUUCUAAAGUGCAUUACAUUCGAAUAUCAGUGGAAUUUAACCACACGUUCAUCAUUUCGAAUAUGAGACUUCCACUGCGAAAAUGCAUCAGGCAUAUGA